rnacentral:rRNA from 1 species
AACCCGCCGCCCUUAUCGGGCGGGGAGACAGUGUCAGGUGGGCAGUUUGACUGGGGCGGUCGCCUCCUAAAAGGUAACGGAGGCGCCCAAAGGUUCCCUCAGAAUGGUUGGAAAUCAUUCGCAGAGGGUAAAGGCACAAGGGAGCUUGACUGCGAGACCUACAAGUCGAGCAGGGACGAAAGUCGGGCUUAGUGAUCCGGUGGUUCCGCAUGGAAGGGCCAUCGCUCAACGGAUAAAAGCUACCCCGGGGAUAACAGGCUUAUCUCCCCCAAGAGUCCACAUCGACGGGGAGGUUUGGCACCUC